rnacentral:lncRNA from 1 species
GGGGGGGGGGGGGGGGGGGGGGGGGGGGGGGGGGGGGGGGGGGGGGGGGGGGGGGGGGGGGGGGGGGGGGGGGGGGGGGGGGGGGGGGGGGGGGAGUGAGGAGCAGGGAUUGGUGCGGGAUGGAAUUCCAGCGAGGAGAAGGGCACAGUCAGGAAGCUGCUCCCAGCUGGGGAUCGUCAGCAUUUGGCUACUGAGAUGUUGUUAAAUGUUAUUAAAUGUUGUUAAAUAUCAGGAAAUCUCUUGUUUUAGCACUUCCUGUGGCUGGUGCCCAGACAAACUCCAGCAGGUUUUUUCCACCACAGCGUGGAGACAUCCCUGGAUCCCUCCAGGGCUGCCGCUGGGAAGGACAUUUCAGCCAGGACUGGAAUUCCUCAGGGCUCCCCCUUCCUUUAGAGCUCUGGAGCACAAACAGCACAAACCAGCAGAGGCUUUGCUGCUCGCCGAGAUCCCCCGGGCAGAGCAGGGAGCGGCCCCGGGGUCACCCAGCCAGCGCAGGGUGUUUGGGCUCCUCGGUCCCCUCCGGGAUUCGCGUCCCUUUGGCCUCUCUCCCGCCCUCUGCCCUGGGAGAGGAGCUGGGAAUGGGGUUGCUCCCAGACUCUGGGAGCCAGGGAAUGUUUGGGCUCUGUGCUGAGCCUCGGGAUUCAGGAGUCACCUGGAUUCUGCUCCUGCAUGAGAGAGGUGCAGGGGAAUCCCUCUGGCAAUGUAGAGCCGGGAAGCGAAGCGGGUGCGGCUCUGGUGGGAUGCUGGGAACCCAGGACAGGUGAGCUGGUCCAGGUGGCUGCAGGGACAGUGGCCAGGUGGCUCGGGGUGAAUGGUGGCAGGAGGAGAGCCCAGGGAGGUGUUCCAGAUGUUCCAGCUGCCAGGACAGGUCCAGCUGGGUCGGGAAGGGUGGGAGAGGCAGGAGGGAGGACGAGGGAAGGGUCCUUCAGCAGCCAGAGCAGAACUCCUCCCACCACGGUGCACAAAGGCAGAAAAGCAGAUAACUGAGGGGGUUCAGGGCACCACAAACCCUGACAGCCCCUGGGGACAAGGAACUGUCUGUGGGGACAAGGAACUGCCUGUGGGGACAAGGAACUGGCUGUGGGGACAAGGAACUGGCUGUGGGGACACGGAACUGGCUGUGGGGACAUGGAACUGGCUGUGGGGACAUGGAACUGGCUGUGGGGACAUGGAACUGGCUGUGGGGACACAAAACUGCCUGUGGGGACAUGGAACUGGCUGUGGGAACAUGGAACUGGCUGUGGGAACAUGGAACUGGCUGUGGGACCUGUGGGGACGUGGAACUGCCUGUGGAGACAAGGAACUGUCUGUGGGGACAAGGAACUGCCUGUGGGGACAAGGAACUGGCUGUGGGGACAAGGAACUGGCUGUGGGAACAUGGAACCUGCUGUGGGGACAUGGAACUGGCUGUGGGAACAUGGAACCUGCUGUGGGGACAUGGAACUGCCUGUGGGGACACGGAACUGGCUGUGGGAACAUGAACCUGCUGUGGGGACAUGGAACCUGCUGUGGGGACAUGGAACCUGCUGUGGGGACAUGGAACCUGCUGUGGGGACAUGGAACCUGCUGUGGGGACAUGGAACCUGCUGUGGGGACAUGGAACCUGCUGUGGGGACAUGGAACCUGCUGUGGGGACAUGGAACCUGCUGUGGGGACAUGGAACCUGCUGUGGGGACAUGGAACCUGCUGUGGGGACAUGGAACCUGCUGUGGGGACAUGGAACCUGCUGUGGGGACAUGGAACUGCCUGUGGGGACGUGGAACUGCCUGUGGAGACAAGGAACUGUCUGUGGGGACAAGGAACUGUCUGUGGGGACACCAAACUCUGCCUGUGGGGACACUGUGGAGCCUCAGCAGUGACCUGGGGACACUGACUGGGUUUGUCUGAGCAAACAGGGACAGGAGGUGACAUAAAAGGAGGAGAGGAGAAAAGGGGAGGGAUAAAUCCAGUGAAUAGGAACAGCUUGGGGGUGGGGAAGGAGAGAGAGAGAGAGAGAGAGAGAGAGAGAGAGAGAGAGAGAGAGAGAGAGAGAGAGAGAGAGAGAGAGAGAGAGAGAGAGAGAGAGAGAGAGAGAGAGAGAGAGAGAGAGAGAGAGAGAGAGAGAGAGAGAGAGAGAGAGAGAGAGAGAGAGAGAGAGAGAGAGAGAGAGAGAGAGAGAGAGAGAGAGAGAGAGAGAGAGAGAGAGAGAGAGAGAGAGAGAGAGAGAGAGAGAGAGAGAGAGAGAGAGAGAGAGAGAGAGAGAGAGAGAGAGAGAGAGAGAGAGAGAGGCUCCAGCAGAAGAAGGAAGUUGGGCAGUGCUGGGGGAUGGAUGGAUGGAUGAUGGAUGGAUGGAUGGAUGGAUGAUGGAUGAUGGAUGGAUGAUGGAUGAUGGAUGGAUGGAUGGAUGAUGGAUGAUGGAUGGAUGAUGGAUGAUGGAUGGAUGGAUGGAUGAUGGAUGAUGGAUGGAUGAUGGAUGAUGGAUGGAUGGAUGGAUGAUGGAUGAU